rnacentral:rRNA from 1 species
GAGUAACGCGUGGGUAACCUACCCUUGAAUCUGGGAUAACCCCGUGAAAACGGGACUAAUACCGGAUAUCGUCCCUUUGGCUGUGGCCUUUGGGAUGAAAGGUGACCUCUUCAUGAAAGUUGUCGUUCAGGGAGGGGCCCGCGUACCAUUAGCUUGUUGGUGGGGUAAUGGCCUACCAAGGCGACGAUGGUUAGCUGGUCUGAGAGGAUGAUCAGCCACACUGGAACUGGAACACGGUCCAG